rnacentral:rRNA from 1 species
ACCGUACUCCUACGGGAGGCAGCAGUGGGGAAUCUUGCGCAAUGGGCGAAAGCCUGACGCAGCCAUGCCGCGUGAAUGAUGAAGGUCUUCGGAUUGUAAAAUUCUUUCACCGGGGACGAUAAUGACGGUACCCGGAGAAGAAGCCCCGGCUAACUUCGUGCCAGCAGCCGCGGUAAUACGAAGGGGGCUAGCGUUGCUCGGAAUUACUGGGCGUAAAGGGCGCGUAGGCGGAUCGUUAAGUCAGAGGUGAAAUCCCGGAGCUCAACUUCGGAACUGCCUUUGAUACUGGCGAUCUUGAGUGUGAGAGAGGUAUGUGGAACUCCGAUUGUAGAGGUGAAAUUCGUAGAUAUUCGGAAGAACACCAGUGGCGAAGGCGACAUACUGGCUCAUUACUGACGCUGAGGCGCGAAAGCGUGGGGAGCAAACAGGAUUAGAUACCCGAGUAGUCCUUGAC